rnacentral:rRNA from 1 species
UAACGCGUGAGUAACCUGCCUUCAAGAGGGGGAUAACAUUCUGAAAAGAAUGCUAAUACCGCAUGACAUAUCGGAACCACAUGGUUCUGAUAUCAAAGAUUUUAUCGCUUGAAGAUGGACUCGCGUCCGAUUAGUUAGUUGGUGAGGUAACGGCUCACCAAGACCGCGAUCGGUAGCCGGACUGAGAGGUUGAACGGCCACAUUGGGACUGAGACACGGCCCAGACUCCUACGGGAGGCAGCAGUGGGGGAUAUUGCGCAAUGGGGGCAACCCUGACGCAGCAACGCCGCGUGAAGGAUGAAGGUUUUCGGAUUGUAAACUUCUUUUAUUAAGGACGAAAAACGACGGUACUUAAUGAAUAAGCUCCGGCUAACUACGUGCCAGCAGCCGCGGUAAUACGUAGGGAGCAAGCGUUGUCCGGAUUUACUGGGUGUAAAGGGUGCGUAGGCGGCUUUGCAAGUCAGAUGUGAAAUCUAUGGGCUCAACCCAUAAACUGCAUUUGAAACUGUAGAGCUUGAGUGAAGUAGAGGCAGGCGGAAUUCCCCGUGUAGCGGUGAAAUGCGUAGAGAUGGGGAGGAACACCAGUGGCGAAGGCGGCCUGCUGGGCUUUAACUGACGCUGAGGCACGAAAGCGUGGGUAGCAAACAGGAUUAGAUACCCUGGUAGUCCACGCUGUAAACGAUGAUUACUAGGUGU